UCCUAAAUGUCCCAGGUACUUUUUCGUGAAGCUGACAAUGACAACAAUUACGGGAAGCAAUGUACCCAGAUGCAGAGUCACCAGGAAACUGGCAAACGUCUGGUUUUAUUUGUGGGGAUGUUUUGGAAGAAGAUUGGUGUGCAGGCUGUGAAGGGAAGACCAGGAGACAGACUGAAAACAGAUUACGGUUCAGAUUUCUUCCCUGAGGAACAUUCAUUCCAGUCGCUUUCUCUACCAAUGAGAGACUCCAACUCCUCUCCCUUGGAAUAUGACUGAUUGCCCCAUUCCACAGGAGUCAAACUCUAGAACAUUCCCACCUGAAGACCUGUGACUCCUGUUGCUACCAGAUUCUAUCCUAUUAAUUAAUUAAUCAAUUAAUUAAGCUGGGAAUUGAACUUGGGGCCUUACAUGUGCUAGGCAAACACUCUACCACAGAGGCAUACUCCCACCCUCCUCCUAAUUAUCCCAAGCCCAGCCAUGUGGCUUGUGUUUGGAUUUCU
rnacentral:lncRNA from 1 species